rnacentral:rRNA from 1 species
CCUACGGGUGGCAGCAGUGAGGAAUAUUGGUCAAUGGGCGCGAGCCUGAACCAGCCAAGUAGCGUGAAGGAUGACUGCCCUACGGGUUGUAAACUUCUUUUAUAAAGGAAUAAAGUGAGGCACGUGUGCCUUUAUGUAUGUACUUUAUGAAUAAGGAUCAGCUAACUCCGUGCCAGCAGCCGCGGUAAUACGGAGGAUCCGAGCGUUAUCCGGAUUGAUUGGGUUUAAAGGGAGCGUAGAGGGGUUGUUAAGUCAGUUGUGAAAGUUUGCGGCUCAACCGUAAAAUUGCAAUGGAUACUGGCAGCCUUGAGUGCAGUAGAGGUAGGCGGAAUUCGAGGUGUAGCGGUGAAAUGCUUAGAUAUAUGGAAGAACUCCGGUUGCGAAGGCAGCCUACUAAACUGCCACUGACAUUGAUGCUCGAAAGUGUGGGUAUCAAACAGGAUUAGAUACCCCAGUAGUC